UACGCUUGACCAGACCGGACAGCACCUUGCCCGCACCGAUUUCGAGGAAGUGCGUCACGCCCUGCGACGCCAUCCACGCCACGCUCUCGCGCCAGCGCACCGUGCCGGUCUGCUCGACCAGCCGCUUGCGGAUUUCGUCCGGGUCGGUGAUCGCCGACGCCAGAACGUUGGACACCACGGGCACCUUCGGCGUGUUGAUG
rnacentral:misc_RNA from 1 species